GUUUGACCUCGGAUCAGGUAGGGAUACCCGCUGAACUUAAGCAUAUCAAUA
rnacentral:rRNA from 6 species